AUGCAUGUCUAAGUAUAAGCAACUAUACUGUGAAACUGCGAAUGGCUCAUUAAAUCAGUUAUCGUUUAUUUGAUAGUACCUUACUACUUGGAUAACCGUGGUAAUUCUAGAGCUAAUACAUGCGAAAAACCCCGACUUCGGAAGGGGUGUAUUUAUUAGAUAAAAAACCAAUGCCCUUCGGGGCUUCCUGGUGAUUCAUAAUAACUUAACGAAUCGCAUGGCCUUGCGCCGGCGAUGGUUCAUUCAAAUUUCUGCCCUAUCAACUUUCGAUUGUAGAGUAGUGGUCUACAAUGGUUUCAACGGGUAACGGGGAAUUAGGGUUCGACUCCGGAGAGGGAGCCUGAGAAACGGCUACCACAUCCAAGGAAGGCAGCAGGCGCGCAAAUUACCCAAUCCCGACACGGGGAGGUAGUGACAAUAAAUACUGAUACAGGGCUCUUUUGGGUCUUGUAAUUGGAAUGAGUACAAUUUAAAUCCCUUAACGAGGAACAACUGGAGGGCAAGUCUGGUGCCAGCAGCCGCGGUAAUUCCAGCUCCAGAAGCGUAUAUUAAAGUUGUUGCAGUUAAAAAGCUCGUAGUUGAAUUUUGGGCCUGGCUGGCCGGUCCGCCUCACCGCGUGCACUGGUCCGGCCGGGCCUUUCCUCCUGGGGAUCCGCAUGCCCUUCACUGGGUGUGCUGGGGAACCAGGACUUUUACUUUGAAAAAAUUAGAGUGUUCAAAGCAGGCCUUUGCUCGAAUACAUUAGCAUGGAAUAAUAGAAUAGGACGGCUUUCCUAUUUUGUUGGUUUCUAGGGAAGCCGUAAUGAUUAAUAGGGAUAGUCGGGGGCAUCAGUAUUCAAUUGUCAGAGGUGAAAUUCUUGGAUUUAUUGAAGACUAACUACUGCGAAAGCAUUUGCCAAGGAUGUUUUCAUUAAUCAGUGAACGAAAGUUAGGGGAUCGAAGACGAUCAGAUACCGUCGUAGUCUUAACCAUAAACUAUGCCGACUAGGGAUCGGGCGAUGUUACUAUCUUGACUCGCUCGGCACCUUACGAGAAAUCAAAGUUUUUGGGUUCUGGGGGGAGUAUGGUCGCAAGGC
rnacentral:rRNA from 1 species